GCCGGGUUAGCCAAGUGGUUACGGCGCGGGCCUUGAGAGCCUGUGGCUUCCGAGCCGCAAGGGUUCGAAUCCCUUACCCGGCGCCA
rnacentral:tRNA from 1 species